UACAGAGGGUGCGAGCGUUAAUCGGAAUUACUGGGCGUAAAGCGCACGUAGUCGGCUUUGCAAGUCGGGUGUGAAAUCCCCGGGCUCAACCUGGGAACUGCAUCCGAGACUGCAUUGCUAGAGUAUGGGAGAGGGAAGCGGAAUUUCUGGUGUAGCAGUGAAAUGCGUAGAUAUCCGGAGGAACACCGGUGGCGAAGGCGGCUUCCUGGACCGACACUGACGCUGAGGCGCGAAAGCUAGGGGAGCAAACGGG
rnacentral:rRNA from 1 species